rnacentral:lncRNA from 1 species
GGCGCCAUAUGUUGUCUGGUGAAGGCGGAGCUGCCUCUUCACCAAUGUUCAAGUCAAAACGACGAUCGGAAGGGCCAGACAUUUUUCAGAGGUGGUGAAGAAAGAAGAGAGUUGGACAGAUCAAGAUUAAACAAGUGCAAGAAGGGAGUGUUUACAGGAGGGAGCUCAAGUGUGUUGUGGAACAAAAUUAACGCCUCUAUAAAAAGAAGAAAUCAAAGAGGCGCUCCUCAGAGAAGCGUCCUCUCGCAAAUCGAAGAGUCGGGGCUCCGUUCUCAAACGUCUGAUUCUUUUCUCAAAAGAGGAGUUUCCUUUCUCAAAAGCCGGAUUCUUUUCUCAAAAGAGGCGUUUCAUUUCUUAAAGGCUGGGCUUGCUCAGAAACCACGAGCCGAACCCCGGAUUUCAAAAGAUCAAUUUGUCCAGACGUGUCGUCACUUGUCACACGCAAAUUGCUUUGCGGAAAUCUCGGGCAGUUUGUCGAAGCACCAAUUCAGAAAUCGA